rnacentral:rRNA from 1 species
CGGCGAGUGAAGCGGCAACAGCUCAAAUUUGAAAUCUGGCUUCGGCCCGAGUUGUAAUUUGCAGAGGAUGCUUCUGGCGCGGUGCCUUCCGAGUUCCCUGGAACGGGACGCCACAGAGGGUGAGAGCCCCGUAUGGUCGGACACCAAGCCUGUGUGAAGCUCCUUCGACGAGUCGAGUAGUUUGGGAAUGCUGCUCUAAAUGGGAGGUAAAUCUCUUCUAAAGCUAAAUACCGGCCAGAGACCGAUAGCGCACAAGUAGAGUGAUCGAAAGAUGAAAAGCACCUUGAAAAGGGGGUUAAAUAGUACGUGAAAUUGUUGAAAGGGAAGCACUUAUGACCAGACUUGGGCCGGGCGGCUCAUCAGGGGUUCUCCCCUGUGCACUCCGCCCGGCACAGGCCAGCAUCGGUUCUCGUGGGGGGAUAAGACCGUCAGGAACGUAGCACCCUCCGGGGUGUGUUAUAGCCUGGCGGACGAUACCCCCGUGGGGACCGAGGUCCGCGCUCCGCAAGGAUGCUGGCGUCAUGGUCAUCAGUGACCCGUCUUGAAACACGG